UGAUAACCAAAAGCUCCUCUCUUCCCAGGAACUCUGCUCGCACAGGUCUCUGCAGAGGAGGCUGUCCACUGACCUUCCUGCCUUUACGGCACUGCUGAAACCUUCUCUCCUGGUCUCCAGUGCUGUGGGGAGAUCUAGGGGAAGAUAUAUUUGUUUUCAGAUGAUGUCAUUCUGUGGCAUAGUUUGCAAGAGACAGGAUGCAAAUAAAGCUGAAUGUGAUAUGGGGAUGAAAUCGAAGAGGCGGAGAGGAAUAGCUGCAGUAUUCUGAGGCUAAGAGCACCCUGCCCCCUUCACUGGUGUGAACAGUCCUUUGGUCACUGUCCCUUCCAGGUCACAAGGCCAUGAGUACAAAAAGCCUCUAUUCAGGCUUCAGAAACAACAACAAGAGCAACAAACAAACAACAGAAACCCCGGUUGCUGAGUCAGGCACGUUCUUCCCCGUGAAAUGUUCUGCGUCCACAGGAAAGGAAACAGGAUACAGACAAUAGCAUAGCUGACAUCACGCAGGUGCCUGGAGGCUAAUUCGAAAAUGUCAGACUCCAUCAGUCACGGAGAGAGAGGCCAAAGGGGGCUGUCUGAUGCUCCAGACGUGUAUGGCUUCUCAAGCCAGCGGAGUUUCCUGUUAAUGCGAGCAGCUUCCCACUUCCCUCCUGGCAGGUGGGUUUACUGCCUCAAGCCUGCAAGCUGUUUGCUGCAACUCCACAUCACGUGUGUAUUUGAGGAACACAGGACAAGAAUACAGGAAUAUGAGUUCCUCACCAGCAGCACGGCUGUCUUUUUCAUUAGGAGAGCAAAGCACGUUUCCACUGCAAACCCCAGCCAGACACAAGCUUACCUGCCAUUGGGCAGAACUGUCACCUGAUCACUCCCACCUGCAAAGGAGAUGGUGAAGAUGGGGAUCUAGCUUUUCCAGCCAUGAUAAGCUGUCAGGGGAGGAGGAGGUGAGAAGGACUCGUGGGUCAUUCUGGCAACACUGAAUCCAUACUGGCUUCAAAGCCAUGGGAGGCGGCUUGCUUGCUGGCCCAGAGUGCUGGGGUUGACCGUGGGCUCCCGGAACUUCCUGCCCUACUGUGGGGUUUCAGCUUGGACUCCCCUCCCCCACCUUGCCAGCCUGGCACCUCCCUGCUCCUCCCUCACAGCUCAGCUCAGUGCCUACUCUGCACCCACCCUAUCCAGACCCCUCCCCGGCAACCUGCACAAGCUCUCCCCCAGCAUGUGAGGCCCUCAUUAGACCGUGGGUUCUUCUGGGGCAGGUAGUGUGUCUCAGUCUUAUUUCUCAGCUUUCAGGCCUAAAAACUUAGUCAUACCUCCUCUCUUUUUCCCCAUAUCCCACAUGCGAUCCAUAGCAAGUCCCAUCAGCUCUAUCCUCAAAAUCUACCCAGACUUCGGAUGUUUCUUACUACCACCACCCCUCCUCCAUCACUCUCCCUUGUAUUACUUCAGUGGCCCUGCUUCUGCCCUUCCCCCCUCCCCAACCAGCCAAUUGUCACCACAGCAAAUCUGUCCCUCCACUGCCCUGAACCCCCAAAUGGCUCCCAUUUCACUCAGAGUUGAAGUUAAAGUUCUUUCCAUAUCUUAUAAAACCUAUGUGAUCUGCCCCUACCUCUUAUUUCUCUGAUCUCAUCUCCUACAACUGCCCUCCUCACAAAUACAACCCCUGCCAUGUUACUGACUCCUUACUGAUCUCACCAACCACCUUCUGCCUCAGGGCCUUUGCACAGCUUUUCCUCUGUCUAGACAGCUCUGUCCUAGACAUCUACAUGGCAUGCUCCCUCACCUCCCAUAGGUCUUCAUUUAAGUCAUCACGGUGUGGCCUUCCCUAUGCCCUGCCUAACACACCCCGUCCCUCUUCCAGCUGUAUUUCUCUUCA